rnacentral:rRNA from 1 species
UGGGGAAUAUUGCACAAUGGGCGCAAGCCUGAUGCAGCCAUGCCGCGUGUAUGAAGAAGGCCUUCGGGUUGUAAAGUACUUUCAGCGGGGAGGAAGGUGUUGUGGUUAAUAACCGCAGCAAUUGACGUUACCCGCAGAAGAAGCACCGGCUAACUCCGUGCCAGCAGCCGCGGUAAUACGGAGGAUCCGAGCGUUAUCCGGAUUUAUUGGGUUUAAAGGGUGCGUAGGCGGAAAGAUAAGUCAGCCUGUGAAAGUUUGCGGCUCAACCGUAAAAUUGCAGUUGAUACUGUUUUUCUUGAGUGUACAUAAGGUAGGCGGAAUUCGUGGUGUAGCGGUGAAAUGCUUAGAUAUCACGAAGAACUCCGAUUGCGAAGGCAGCUUACCGGGGUACAACUGACGCUGAUGCACGAAAGUGUGGGUAUCAAACA